UAGUCCACGCAGUAAACGAUGAGUGCUAGCUGUUGGGAUCUUGAAUUUCGGUGGCGAAGCUAACGCAUUAAGCACUCCGCCUGGGGAGUACGGCCGCAAGGCUAAAACUCAAAGGAAUUGACGGGGACCCGCACAAGCAGUGGAGCAUGUGGUUUAAUUCGAUGAUACGCGAUAACCUUACCAGCUCUUGCAUCAUGAUUACGAUUUUCAGAGAUGAAUUUUUCAGUUCGGCUGGAUCAUGACAGGUGUUGCAUGGCUGUCGUCAGCUCGUGUCGUGAGAUGUUAGGUUAAGUCCUUUAACGAGCGCAACCCUUGUCCUUAUUUGCCAUCAGGUUAAGCUGGGAACUAUAAGGAGACUGCCAACGAUAAGUUGGAGGAAGGUGAGGAUGAUGUCAAGUCAUCAUGGCCCUUAUGGGCUGGGCUACACACAUGCUACAAUGGUGAUUACAACGGGGUACAAUAGAGCAAUCUGGAGUAAA
rnacentral:rRNA from 1 species